rnacentral:snRNA from 1 species
AUGAGAGUGAUUUGGCUAUGACAUUUGUCACCUCAUUAAUUGCCAAUGUUGAUUCAGCUGAUCUGGCUGGCUAAUCAGGUGUCCCCUUCCUCUUUCACUGUGCAUCCUGCCCAAAGCUACAUGCUCAGUCUAAGAGAAUGACCUUCCGUGAAAGGAGGAGGAUGGGUCUUGGUUAAGGUUAUAUAUGAGUUGCUGUGCUCCUCUGCUAGAACUUCCAAACAAGCUCUCAAGCUAUAGACUUCUGAUUUGGUUCCUAGUACAAGGCAUGGAUUCUGUCCCAGAGAAUAGGCUACCAUAUCCAAUCAGAGCAGCUGAUU